ACGCUCCUGCGGGAGGCAGCAGUGGGGAAUAUUGGACAAUGGGCGCAAGCCUGAUCCAGCCAUGCCGCGUGAGUGAUGAAGGCCCUAGGGUUGUAAAGCUCUUUCACCGGUGAAGAUAAUGACGGUAACCGGAGAAGAAGCCCCGGCUAACUUCGUGCCAGCAGCCGCGGUAAUACGAAGGGGGCUAGCGUUGUUCGGAUUUACUGGGCGUAAAGCGCACGUAGGCGGACUAUUAAGUCAGGGGUGAAAUCCCGGGGCUCAACCCCGGAACUGCCUUUGAUACUGGUAGUCUUGAGUUCGAGAGAGGUGAGUGGAAUUCCGAGUGUAGAGGUGAAAUUCGUAGAUAUUCGGAGGAACACCAGUGGCGAAGGCGGCUCACUGGCUCGAUACUGACGCUGAGGUGCGAAAGCGUGGGGAGCAAACAGGAUUAGAAACCCUUGUAGUCCCAUGA
rnacentral:rRNA from 1 species